AGCCUGAUGCAGCGACGCCGCGUGAGGGAUGACGGCCUUCGGGUUGUAAACCUCUUUCAGCAGGGACGAAGCGUGAGUGACGGUACCUGCAGAAGAAGCACCGGCCAACUACGUGCCAGCAGCCGCGGUAAUACGUAGGGUGCAAGCGUUGUCCGGAAUUACUGGGCGUAAAGAGCUCGUAGGCGGUUUGUCGCGUCGUCUGUGAAAACCAGCAGCUCAACUGUUGGCUUGCAGGCGAUACGGGCAGACUUGAGUAUUUCAGGGGAGACUGGAAUUCCUGGUGUAGCGGUGAAAUGCGCAGAUAUCAGGAGGAACACCGGUGGCGAAGGCGGGUCUCUGGGAAAUAACUGACGCUGAGGAGCGAAAGCGUGGGUAGCGAACAGGAUUAGAUACCCUGGUAGUCCACGCCGUAAACGGUGGGCGCUAGGUGUGGGUUUCCUUCCACGGGAUCCGUGCCGUAGCUAACGCAUUAAGCGCCCCGCCUGGG
rnacentral:rRNA from 3 species